GAUGAAGACGCAGCGAAAUGCGAUACGUAAUGUGAAUUGCAGAAUUCAGUGAAUCAUCGAGUCUUUGAACGCACAUUGCGCCCCCUGGUAUUCCGGGGGGCAUACCUGUCCGAGCGUCAUUGCUGCCCUCAAGCACGGCUUGUGUGUUGGGCCUCCGUCCUCCUCCCGGGGGACGGGCCCGAAAGGCAGCGGCGGCACCGCGUCCGGUCCUCGAGCGUAUGGGGCUUCGUCACCCGCUCUUGUAGGCCCGGCCGGCGCUUGCCGACACAUCAAUCUUUUUUCCAGGUUGACCUCGGAUCAGGUAGGGAUACCCGCUGAACUUAAGCAUAUCAAUAAGCGGAGGA
rnacentral:misc_RNA from 1 species